AUUGAUUUUUAUUAAAAACAAUAUGAAAAAUAUCAAAUAUAUCCUAACUGUUAGAUCUAAUAAAAUAUAAUAGGGCUUACCACACCAGAUUAAAACCCAGACACAUCUCAGCCCUUGAAAUAAUCUAAGUUUUUGAUCCCGUUGCGCCACGUCAUCCGGUGUACCGAGCUUUCAGUGCGCUGCGUCACACUAGAUAAACACUCUGAUCAUCCGGACCGUCCGAUCACCUGCAGAUCCAGCCAAUCACAGCCGUAGGAUCAGUUCAACUGCGAUCCAACGGUUCACAGCCUUCAAACUGCACCGUUGCACCAUGCGCGCGUUCACACCGUAGUACUUCUCAGACUCCCUCUCUCCUCUCGCCGGCGACGCUCUCUCUCUCUCUCAUCCGAUCUCCACUUUCCGGCCGUCUCCAGCCUCCGCACCACCACAGAAAGGUUUCUACCCUGCUGUAAAGAAAAAAACCUGGUGGUUUUCAUCGUUUUCUCCGCCUCAUCUGGCCGGCGAAGGGCCGCGAUUUUCGUCGGCCACCGAAGCUUCAAACCGACGAUUCUCCCUCGUCAGCCAUCAACGGCCGUCGAGACCAUCGCCAUCAGAACCCUCGACAUCAGAUCUACCAGGAUCGACCAUCGGUUGGCCAGAAAUCUCUCCGGAAAAUCUCCCCGCCGCCAACAGUAGCCGCGCGUGUGCCACACGCGCCGCCAGUGGUAUUUUCGUAAUUUUCGGAGAAAUUCGAGAGUAUUUCAGUAUUUUACCUAUACAGUGACACUCAGGUAAUUUUUUGGGUUUCUACUGGUAUUUUUAAUAUUUUUUAUAUAUAUAUAAAUGCUUGUAAAUUUUCUUGCAUGUUGUAAAAAAUACAAAAAAACCAAAGUCGACAUGUCUUUUUGUUUUUGAAAAGGACCGAUGUCAAAAAUGUAAAUACCAAAUAUGGAUUAUGUCCAUUAUUUCUUUUGGUAACCUAGACGUAACUCUCCUUUUUAGGGUUAAAACGUCAUAUUUUAGACAAGUCUCCUAAUUUUAGGGACUGAUGUCAUUUUUAACGCGUCUCUUAUUUUUAGGGACCGACGUUAACCAUUUAAAAAAAACAAAUUACCAAUAAACCCAAAAUAUAAUGGAUUAUAUCCAGUAUUUUUUUUGGUAACCCAGACGUAACUCUCCUUUUAGGGACAAACGUCAAUAUUUUAGACGAGUCUCCUAAUUUUUAGGGACUGAUGUCAUUUUUAACGUGUCUCCUAUUUUUAGGGACCGACGUUAAUCAUUUUUAAAAAAAUUACAAAUAAGCCCAAAAUAUAAUCGUAUUUGAAUCAAACAAAAAACACACAAGUAAGGGUAACCUUUCUAUUGAAAGGAUGUUUUAAGGGUGGUGUCUACCUUCCCUUAAUCAUAACUAACCCCGUACCCGAAUCUCUGGGACCAGUGUCUAAUUUGGGAUUUCUAGUUUCCCUCAAAUUACUAGAUGGCGACUCCAAUAAAAUCUUUAUUUCCCCCAAUCGAGAAAAAACCCUUUUUGUUAAAAAAACAAAAAAGCGGGAGCCGUCGCCCGACGUCGUGUAUCGACAGAAUGGCGACUCCGCUGGGGACUUAGGGUUGAGCCAACUGCUUGUGUUUGCUUUUCAUUUACUCUUUCUUAUUGCUAUUUAUUUUUGGGUUUAUUUUAUUUGCAUUAUUUAUUUUAUGCAAUAUCUACUGUGAUUCUUUUCAAUUUUUCAUAUCGUCAUAUACGUACAUGUUAUUUAUUUGUGUAUUCACACACUUCACGGUGAACCCAUAAAAGCUCUGGACCCGAGCUCGUCCCGUUUAAGGUUAGAAAAGAGAGAUUCAAGUGGCAAGUGUGACUUAUGUCCACUGAUGCUCAUUUGGACUUUUGCUUGGAUUGUAACUCACCCUAUGCAACUAGUACUGUGGAGUCUUUCUCCCCUACUCAUGUUGAAUAAGGUUAAGAGGCCGAUUACUUCACGAGUAAUUCGGGCAAUCUAAGAACCAAAAAAUAUCUUUAAGGAUAGACUAAACUGAGCCAAACCUUAUGAGCUAGAUCCUAUCAAGUAGGAUAUACCUAUUAGGACACGAACAAAUGUCAAUGCAUGAACAUACAUGUUCAUAUACAUUUCAUAUGCUCAUUAAGUCUCCACCGAUCCUUACAGGAAGUGUGAGAUGGAA
rnacentral:lncRNA from 1 species